rnacentral:lncRNA from 1 species
GUUUUGUACAUGCCCCAUAAGUGAUUUUCUUUAAUAAAUACACUGCUUUCCAAAACUGCUUUUUAAAUAAUUGCACAAGCAUACAUACACCGUACACAAAUUUCUAUUAGAAAAUUUAAUAGAUAAAUGCACAGUUCAGAAUAGGAAACACUGUGAAACGAGUACAUUUUGUGGCCCACAUUCCUAAAAUAUCUCUAUUUUGCAAUUGUGAAAAUGGAAUCCCUCUCAAUACAGUAGCCGUCUUUUAUUCAUUAGGAAUACAGAUCUCAGUGUGAAAUGGCAAAUUUAAUAAAAACAAAAUCUGAAACAUUUAGCUGUUACAUGGAAACCAACUGUUUGAUAUCACUGUGAAUCUAGCCAUGAUCAAAGACCCACUACAGCUUUCUGUGGAACAUAGUUGACCCUGGAUAGUGUGUUCAUUUAACUGCUUUCCUUUCUUCAUUAUCUGAUUACAGACACUAUCAGUUUAAAGAUUUCAUAUCCUUUGGCAUUAAUUGUACAACCUAGAUGCCAGGGGUUCUGAGUGGAAGGAAGGAAAUAUUUCUGUCAUUCAAUGAUUACUUAAUAUUAAUUCAGAAUAAGCCCAUCAUCUCUCGCUCCUUGUAAAUGUGUUUAGAGGAAAGAUGUUGAGUGUUGGAACUUAAGCAAGAGGAGGUAUUUCUAUGUAUGCUUACACUAGAGGAAGACUGUUACUAUUUUCUCUCCCAAGGAUGGAUACCUUAGUACUUUGUGGAUGUGUCUCUGCUUCUACACAGACAGGUAGGGUCCAUGAGAAAGCCACUUGGGCCUGAAGGCUUGGGAAGAGACCUGUUGCUUAUGAUAUUCUUCAAUGUUAGUGUGCUUGGUGACAGCUUCAGGGGACAUGUCCCCAUGACACUCUAUGCCAAUGCACAGAGUCCCAAGGAUUCUCCCUGCUCUUCCCACACGCUGCUGGUAGGACAUCUCCUCAGGAAGAUUGCCCUUGCCAAGUUUUUCCAUUUAUCUGCCAUGGGAUGGUUAGGGUAUGCACACGGCCCACACAGGCUACAUUCUAAUCACUACAUUCAGACUUUUCUUGAUAGUGAAUAUGAAAUAUACAGAGAGGAACUUUCAAAAGUUACAUUUCAUUGGUGUUUUAGAAUAAUGAGAAAGUGUCAAUUUUCAAGCCAUUUCCCUGAUGUUACACUGGUCUAUCUGACAAGUUCUGAAUGCAUGGGCACCAGGGGAAGAAAACUAGAGGGAUCAGAAGAGUAAGAUCUUUUUCAAACAUUGCCAGUGGGAGCUUUAAGUGCAUUCCCAAGAUCAUAUAAAUAGAGUUUAACCAAAAGCAUAAAAGUGGGUGGUAUAAAAGAACAAUAUCAAGAAUAAAAACAUGAGAAUUUUUGAAAAGCUAUACCAUUCCAUUUCAGUAAUUAACAGUUCUUUCAUUCAAAAAAAAAAAAGAAUUGACAUGUAAAGCCUCACAUUUUACAAUAUACAGGUUCAUUAGUUCCUUUAAAAAGCAAACAAACAAAAACACAUCAACACAUGCAACCAACCUCAGAAUGCAUUUCAGGUGGUCAGUCCACAUCUAUGUGAUCUUUAUGUUAUUGUGGGUCUCCAGUGGCCUGAAUAGAAGCGUGUUUCAUUUCUACAAUAAUCAUUGUUUCACAAAAAACAAGGCAACCUUCUCAUUCAAGCAUGAAAGUAAGUUUUCACUUGCUUGUAAUUAAUUAGUAAAUCGGUAAACACAAAUACCAUAAAAUAAAAAAAAAAAGGAACAGGAAAGAACUCGUGUAGCUCUCAUUGGUCCUACAGCAGAAGGAGAAAUUUUAAC